GGGAGAGAACGCAAGGCAAGCAUCGCGCCAGAUGCUGUGAGUUUAUCCUGAGAGCCCAGCCGCACGCUGACAGGGCUCCAGGCCCUCUCCUACAGGAAGACUUCCUGGAUUAAUCUGCUAAUCUUCAGCUCAUCCACCUGUUUAAUAGGCAAAACCUACAGAACUAGUCCACACUGAGUGGACCUCUGGGGCUCCCAGCUGCCGAUUGACCUGAACCCCAGAGUGAACUCGUGUUGCUUUGUGGCUUCAGGAAACCUUGGAACAUCUCUGUGCUGUUUUUUCAUUUGUGCUCAAUCAUUCCUGAGGCCUCCUCCUCCUGCUGCAAUUUGACAAGACUUGACCAAAUCAUUAACUCCCAGUUAAUGGGAUAAAAUGAGUUUGAAUCUGGGAUUCUGGUCAUUAACCCCAUGUCACCAUCUGCUCCAGCAGUUUGAUGGCAGGGCUAGGUGAAUUCUAAUCACCCAACACUUGUUAAACUGCUGAUUCCUGCUUCCCCACCUCUGCUGACUCAGCAUCUCUGGGGUGGGGCCUGCAAAGGCUCUCUUCCUUGACGGGGUUAUUGAGGGCAGCUCUAGGAACCCACCCAGGACCAGACCUGAUGAGGAGUUCCUCCUAUGCAUCAGGUAUGCUGGGUCGGUUUGCGGAGUUUCAUAACUUGCAUUUUCCUCUGCCUGGAGAGUUCCUUGCAGCUGGCUUCUUCUGUGUCACGGCCCCACAGAGAUCUUGGCUGGUCUCCCUAUCUCCACCCUCCACCAUGCUCACUAUUCCAUUACAAGUUUCCUUUUCUACCCAGUACUAAUCAUUUUCUGCAAUUCAUCUCAUUUCCUUGUGAACUAUCUGUUGGUCCUACCAGAAUGUAAGUCUCCACCUGGGGGCAGAGACCCUGCCUGGCUUGUUAGAAGCCAUAUCCCCAGGAUUGAAGCAUAUGAGAGAUGCUCAGAAAUACAAGAAUUCAUGAACAAAUGAACACGAGUGAAUUCAUUCAGCUCUGAUGCUGAGGCUCCCUCUCUGAGAUGAAAGAAUGGGGAACCUUCUUCUAAUCCUGGGGAACCUGGGGCCUGCCCUGAGCCUGAUUCCUGAGGCAGGUGAGAGGCACCUCCUACCUCUCAACCCUGUCUAUUGUUACCCCCAGCACCCAGGGAAGACCUCACUGGAGCCUGAGUCAGUGCAGGGGGCCAAGAGGAAUCUGUGCACCCAGAGAAUCUUGGCUGAGUUACCUGAUUUUAAAACUCCUGACUUAAGGUGCUAUUGACCAAGUACUCCUUAGCUCCAUCGCCUACAAAACCACAGGUGCAGGUGAAAGUUGAGUUUAGGUAUGAACUGAAUACUGUUUAGCUACCCUAUUUAAAAAAUUGUUUUCAUUUGUUUGUUUGUUGAGACAGGGUCUCACACUGUCACUCAGGCUGGAGUGCAGUGACAUGGUCAUAGCUCACUGUGGUCUUGAACUUCUGGACUCAAGCUCUCCUCCUGCCUCAGCCUCCUGAGUAGCUGAGACUACAAGGUGCCACCACAUCCAGCUAAUUUUUAAAACCUUUUUUGUAGAAAUGGGGGCUCUCCCUAUGUUGCCCAGGUUUGUCUCGAGCUCCUGGCCUCAAGGGAUCCUCCUGCCUCAGCCUCCCAAAGCAGUGGCCACAGGCAUGGGCACUGCACCCGGCCAAAAGAAAUAUUCUGUCUUCGCUUCCAACUUGAAAUGGACUGCUUACCUUGGCACUUCCCAUGCCGGCUUCUCUCCACUUUCCAAUCUAACAGGAUAAUGAUGUCAUACAGAAAUAACUUACAGUAGGUAUUUAGUAAAUGCUGGUGUGCAAUAUGGAAUAAAAUUCACAAGAGGAAUUCCAAACUGUUCCUUAUCCUCAAAUCAUUUUUUAAUAGCCAAAAAAUUAGUCUGAAAUUUGAGUCCUCGCCCUUCAGUGUAAAAUCAGUAGCUUUUAAUUUUCCCUUAUUUUGUUUGCUUUAAAGAGGCACACCUACCUAUAGUCCCUUAGUCAUGUAAGGGCUGACCCCUCCCACUGGUCUAAAGCGGGGCUUCUGGACCAUGCCUGACCACAGCCAUCUGAUCCUGAGGAGCCUUUAACCCAGUACUUCUGUUUAAAGAAACAAAAGUCCUCUCCUAAAUAAACAAAGCAGGCCUGACUCAAAUCUCUCCGAUGGGUAAAGGAAAGUACCCAGGAGCAGGAGGCUUGGAUUUCUGAUUUUAUUUCGUGUCAUUUCCCUUCCUCAAAGGUGUGAAACUCCACCCCACGCCACUCCUUUCCUAUUCAUCCUCUACUGGAUGUUUUUUCCUCUAAAUAAUUUUUAUUUUCUAUUUUUGUCUGUAUGUGUUCUCCUCUUUUAGUCUACUUCUGUCCCUCUUUCCCCUGCGAAGGAAAAAUAGAAGAAAGAAGCCAUCUCUGUUUGCUUUCUCCCUGUCACUCAAUCUCUGGAGCCAACUGCUUCACAAAUAAAGAGAAGUGCACAGAGAGUCCCUGAAGCCCACCAUCAACAGACAGGCUUUCAACAAAACUGUAUCAGCACCGCCUUGGCCAUAGCUACACUCUACAGAAAAUGGGAGAGAGGAACAGCGCUAGAGAAGUUUGUCCUUGCCUGGUUCCCGGGUGGAACUUCCUCUCCCCCUUGUGUUCUAUGCGUGUGGUUACAGCUGCCUCUGAUCUUUGGUGACCAGCGGUUGGCAGUGGUGGUAUUUCAGCAUACCUUGAUCAUCGUGCUUAUUACACAGCCUCCUUUACCAUCAACCCUACCUACCUUCUUCUAGCCAUGCCCCCCACCUCCUCCCGUCUCUAUCCAUCUCUUCGCUCUUUUAAAAAAUACUUAAGUGUGUACAGAUCACAGUGACUUCAUUUGUGUGCCCAUUCACAUUUGAUGACUUCCAUAACCCCCAUACAAGUAGUUGUGUAUUCGUUUUAAUUCACUUUAUUUAUUUCCUAGCUCUUUCAUAAAAUAAAAUGAAAUAUAAGUAAUGAAAUGGGAAUAAAAAAGAGAAAAAUAGAAUUGAGGGGGAAAAGGAGAAAUGCAUCUAUGUUUGUGAUCACGUUCAUCUUUCUCCAUGCAUCAAUAUGCAUACUAUUAUGAAUUCAUUGCACGUAUUUUAACAUGUAGGCACUACAUGGGGAUGUGGUGUCUACAUACCACCUCUAUAGUGGUAGGCACUGCAAAGGGACAUACAAAAGGUAAAAAGCAUAGUCUCUACUCUCAUAGGACUUUUCAUCUCAUGGAUGUGGCACUCAUAAUGUCUUUUAUCUGUGUCCCACUUGAUGUGAAACUCUUUAGUAGGCAUGAUCCUAUUUGAUUUCCAUAAGCAGAAGAGGGGUCACUGUUUCCAUGUUAUGAGAGAGGAAACUGAGGUUCAGAGAGUGAAAGGACCCUGAUGAGAUAAUGGAACUGGGGCUCAAAUCCUGGUUUCCCGACUCAACAUUUCACAUUCUUUCUACUCUGUCAUUAUUCAUUAGUCAAGUUUCUCCACAGACAACUCACUGAGCCACAACAUAUGAAGCAGCAUGGUAAUGCCACUAGACUGGUCAUGAUCAGAAGAUGUGGCCCCAGGGAAGAGAAAGCAAGAGAGCUGGAGAUAGCAGAGAAAGCACCAAGGAAGGGCUUGGCCGUGCAGCUCUAGCAGGGAGGUCCUUCCUUUCAGCCCCCAAGUGUCCCUCUGUGUCUCAUCUAAAAAGCAAAAAAAGAGGAGAACUAGAGCUUAUGGUUGAAGGCGUGAGAAUGAGGUGUCUUUUCCCUCUAUCUCUGUAAUAUACAAGUAUAAAUACUAUAUAUACAUAUGUAUAUGUGUUCCUUUUUUCUGUGUCUGAUUAUGCAUGCAAUUUAGCAAGGAUUUAUUGCCUAAUUUUGGUCUGGGCACUUUGCUAACGCAAUGGGGGAGGAUACCAAGAAAUUAGGGACUCAGCCUCAUUGUCCCCAGAGACUCCUGGGGGUGGGCAAGGCACGGUGUCUGUGCAUACUGCUGGGGGAGCUCUGGAUUAGGGGACAUCAGGAGACAUGACAUUGAAAUGUCCUACUCAGUUCUCUGUACAGAUUGGAUUUCCGUGGAAGAAAGAAAAUCAACAUGUAUUGGGAGUCAACAUCUCAUUCAGUCCUGUGAGUUUAUUCUGCCUAUUUUUCAGACAAGGAGACUAAGGCUUCAAGACGGUAAGUAAAUUGCCCACAGUGUCACUGCUGGUGUGGGAAUGAGCUUCAGGGUCAUUGAGUCAUGCUGCUGCCCAGGUACCCUGUAAGGCCGUCAAGUGUUGUGGGUAAGGGUUUUGGUGCUGACGUUCAGGUGAUUGUGAGUUUAAAGCCUGG
rnacentral:lncRNA from 1 species